UUCAUUUAUAUAAAGAUUUAUUUGAGAAAGAGAAGUAAAUAUUUCAUGAUGCUUUUCUCCAACACUUGAGUACUGGUAUAGAAUAGAGUAUUACAGCCUCAUAAUGUACAGCAGGGUUUCCCAAACUCAGUUGUGGGGCCCACCCUGGGUCCAUAUAUCUUUUUUGCCCUAGCACUACACAGCUGAUUCAAAUAACCAAUUUAAAUGACUUUGGGAAACCCUGCUUUACAGCAUAAAUAUACUUGUAAAUAGACUUACUGCAUUUCACAAACACUAGCAUUAGAAAUACAGUACUGACAUAGACAAAUAGCACAGUACAACAUAAUGCUUUUACAUACAGUACAGUGGUGGUGAAGGCUAGGAUAAAUCCUUUUCAUUAGGGAGAUGGAUGGCACAAAUCAUUUAUGAACCCAGGUUGAUUUUCAGUAGUGGGGUCCUGUACCAUCAUCUUGAUGGUAAUAACUUGUAUUAUAAAUCACUACAUUCCUCCCUCAGCCAUGUGCAGACCAGACUCAUAUGAAGUUUCAAAGGUGGAAUGGGUGUUAUAGAACAUGUGUAAAUUAUAAUUCAUUGGUGGGUUAAAGUGCAUCAACUUUUGAAUAAGCUUAUCUCUGCUUGAUUAAUAACUGGACAUAUUUUCCUUUUUUGCCCCAUUCAAAAUACCCUGGUAGAUGCGUCAUGGGUAAAACAUUUGUAUUUCCAUACUUAUUCCUAAGAAUAAGAGUAGGCUUUAGCCGGCUGGUGUCAGUAUUAGAGGACCAAAAAUUAUCCAAGGCACUGGUUUAACGGUACUGAUUUACAAGAAUAUGAAUAUGAAAACGUAUUAAAAGAUUACAACUUUAAGAAGAAGAGUUAAAGUGAUGGAAUUAAGGCAGAGAUAACGCAGCAGCAUCCUGAUCUGGGGGUUUGGGUAGUCCUGAGUGCUGUCCCUGUCACUUUCUCUGGGGGUUGGGUCCAAAUAGCUUGGUUAAGGGAUGGGUAGUCCUGAGUGCUGUCCCAAAAAAGGAAAGAGAUAGGGAAGAGAUAAUGAAAAGGAUGUAGCAAGCAGUAUCUACAAAUGUCUGGUGUUUAGGCCCUCAGUGACAUCAUAAUCACAGUAUCUAUGAAUGUCUGGUGGUCAGGUCCUCAGUGACAUCAUAAUCACAGUAUCUACAAAUGUCUGGUGGUCAGGUCCUCAGUGACAUCAUAAUCACAGUAUCUAUGAAUGUCUGGUGGUCAGGUCCUCAGUGACAUCAUAAUCACAGUAUCUAUGAAUGUCUGGUGGUCAGGUCCUCAGUGACAUUAUAAUCACAGUAUCUAUGAAUGUCUGGUGGUCAGGUCCUCAGUGACAUCAUAAUCAUAAGCUAUAGACAAGUCUGUUGUUACAGCCUGAUAGAGAACACACUCACCCUUAUAUGACAUAGUUUUUUAUUUUGCGCUUCUUGAUACACCUGUAAGUAAUGAUGCCAAUGCAAACAACGACCAGGACAGGGAUAAGUAAACACCACCACCCUUAAUAACAACAGAUAAAAACACAACAUUAUUGGAUAAGUAUGUAUCAUAUUACAAUUGGAGGACUAAUUAUUUACAAUGAGGAGGAAUCAUAAAGCACUAAUCAAUCAACGGAUUAAUAUUUUUUUUUUUAAAAAGCCACUGAGGAGUAUAUUAGUCUGUCAGAGUGAAAUUGUCAGUGUUGAGCAGCAUUGCUGCGCUGUGUAUUUCUGCACUCACCAGGAUGUCCAUAUUGAGCAGCAGCUCCAGUGAAGUCUGAACCUGCCACCAAGACAAACAACUCAACAGCCAGACUGCAGAUGUCUUUGUUAGGGAUUCACUCAACUGUACACAGGACAAUUAAGUCUCACUAACAAAGCUAGGAUGGGAAUCAAUCCGAGUGUCAAUUUGGACAAUGCUCCAUUUUAAGGUAAUUUUCAAUUGAGCAACCGUGAAUGUGAUCUCCACUAAGGCAGAAACAUUGCCUUUAAAACGUGCAUUGUGGGCAAAGCUCAAUCAGACUGAAUCCUGGCCUUAGUGUUCAAUUAAGCAAGGGACACUGCAUAAAUAGUGCUGUGUAAAAUGACCAUAAGAUUCUCUACAGCCAGUUUGUGAAAAUAAUACAGAAUGUUUGAAUCGAUGACUCACCAUUCACAGUAGUUGGUGCGAUGCCGAUGACAAGGCAAUCUGAAAUAGCAGAACAGGGCUGAUUAGCCUACAUGCAACAAUUGACAGACGGAGCACAUAUGGAAAUUUGUUUUUGGUUUGGUGAUGGAUUUUUUCUCAUACUCUAUAAUAUAGGCUACUGGUAACUUCCUAUAGCCCCUGGGAUUAUAGACACCCAGGACCAUCGAUUUGUUCACUCUACGCACUCUAGCAUUUUGUUCACGUUGUAUUAUCUUGGGCCAUCACAGAGACACUCACUGGCUUGUUCAUAGUUGGUAAUGGCUGUGCUGUUGGCCUCCAGGGCAGGCUGGAAGCUCUCUGAGACGUUUCUGCACACAGUGUAAUAAUAAUCCAGACUACACAUGGUGCACCUCCCAGAAGGAGGAUAGGGGGUGGAUGUGCAUUGCUGGAAAGGACCUGGCACCAUCAGCAGAUUCUGGUUCAGGUCAUCAUUAUGAUCAAAACAUUUCGUCACCUCUGGGCACUUUGUGUCAUUACACCGGAAACACAUGUCCUUCAUUGCAACUGAGAGAAACAGUGAGAUGUAUUCACACAAACAGGCAGAGGAGGAUUACACUGUUGGCCAGAACAGACAACUCAUCACAUCGGCCAUCCAGUGGAAUAGAGACAAAAGUAUACCAGUUUCAUGGGUUAACUUUGGUUUUAAUCACACAUACAUGUAUACAUACACAUAUACGUUAGAUUAUUCAAUGUAAAGAUCAUUCUAUAGCUGGGGUGGUGACAUUUUUCUCAUGUCAGGCAUUAAUACUGAUGAAUGAUAGAGUGUGUUAUCAUACCUACCUUUUAUUCGAAUCCAACCUGUGAAAUAAUGGACCAGGAAUAUUAGUCUAACGCAAACACUACAAAUUCCUGCAAUCAUUUGUCAUACCAUCUCUUCAAGUAUGAGUUUUAGGACAUUCUUAUCUUUAUUAAAUUCCUAACAGAAAAUAAGAAAUAAAGCUCUUCCUUCCUGUUUUUACUGAACUUUUGGUAUUUGAAGGAC
rnacentral:lncRNA from 1 species